rnacentral:rRNA from 1 species
AGUGAACGCUGGCGGUAGGCCUAACACAUGCAAGUCGAACGGCAGCACAGUAAGAGCUUGCUCUUACGGGUGGCGAGUGGCGGACGGGUGAGGAAUACAUCGGAAUCUACUUUUUCGUGGGGGAUAACGUAGGGAAACCUACGCUAAUACCGCAUACGACCUACGGGUGAAAGCAGGGGAUCUUCGGACCUUGCGCGAUUGAAUGAGCCGAUGUCGGGUUAGCUAGUUGGCGGGGUAAAGGCCCACCAAGGCGACGAUCCGUAGCUGGUCUGAGAGGAUGAUCAGCCACACUGGAACUGAGACACGGUCCAGACUCCUACGGGAGGCAGCAGUGGGGAAUAUUGGACAAUGGGCGCAAGCCUGAUCCAGCCAUACCGCGUGGGUGAAGAAGGCCUUCGGGUUGUAAAGCCCUUUUGUUGGGAAAGAAAAGCAGCAGGUUAAUACCCCGCUGUUCUGACGGUACCCAAAGAAUAAGCACCGGCUAACUUCGUG